GUUUCAAAUAAAUUUAUAAUAGAAUUUUAUUUUUUAGUAAAAAAGCUAAAAUUUAUUUAAAAGACGAGAAGACCCUAUAAAUCUUUAUAAUUUAGAAUAUUUUAGUUUUUUAAGAUUAAUUUUAUUAUAAUAUUUAAAAUUAUUUUAUUGGGGUGAUAUUGAAAUUUAAUAAACUUUUAAUAAUUUAAUAACAUAGAUUAAUGAAUAAAUUGAUCCAUUUUUAAUGAUUAAAAAAUUAAGUUACUUUAGGGAUAACAGCGUAAUUUUUUUGGAGAGUUCUUAUCGAUAAAAAAGUUUGCGACCUCGAUGUUGGAUUAAGAAAUAAUUUUAAUGCAGAAGUUAAAAAAUGAAGUCUGUUCGACUUUUAAAUUCUUACAUGAUCUGAGUUCAAACCGGUGUGAGCCAGGUUGGUUUCUAUCUUUAAUAAAUUAUAAUAUUUUAGUACGAAAGGAAUAAAUAUUAAAAAUAAUUAUUUUAAAAAGAAU
rnacentral:rRNA from 1 species